AGAGGAGCAGAGAGGAGGAGAGGCGGGCCGAUGAUGGAGGGAUGAGGAGCGAAGGAGAAACUCUCAGCCCUGCGGCCCCACAGGACUGGACGCCAAAACCCAAAAACCCCACGGGUCUUCCUCCGAGCCGCUGACGACAUCACAGCCGUGGGGGGGGGCGGGGCCUGACCGUAUAUGGAGAGGAGAGGUGAAAGUGUGUGUGUGUGUGUGUGUGUGUGAGUGUGUGAGGAGAGAGAGGAAGAAAGAGAGAGAGAGAGAGAAAGAGAGAAGGAGUGCGAGAGAUGGAGGAGGGGGAGGAGGCGGGCGCUCAAACCGACCAACCACAGAGAGAGAGAGAGAGAGAGACAGUAUUACUCUCUCUCUCUCUCUCUCUCUGAAGGUCUGAACUGGUUCCAGUCUCUGGUGGGAAGCUGGUGAGGGAUCCCGUCCUCAUAUCUCCAGUAAAAGCAGAGUGACUGUGUGCGAGCUGAUCGACCCUUCAUGCACUUCAUUCUCUCUGGAACUCCAUUUUUAAUCAAUUAAACAAAGAAAAUCGCAGUAAUUUUUGUAAUUUUCACUUUUUCCGUCAAUUUUGCUGCAAAAAACUUCAAGUUUUUAUAAAAUCAGGAAUUUUAGGCCACAACGAUGCCAAAAAAAGGCUGCGACAUCUUGGAGGGAUUGAUUGAUUGAUUGAUUGAUUGAUUGACUGAAGACGAGAUGACGAGGCUGUUAAAAAGAUCUCCAGGUCAAAGGUCAAACGAUGUUUUCAGCUCGUCUGUUUCUGUGAUAUUUACAGUCUCUCUCAGCUCAUUCUGGUAUUUACACGUUUAACAUUUAACACUUAUAGAUGGAAAGUUUUGGAGGUGCAGGAAAGGACGCAGAAAGUCCGGUGACGUCCGUCGUCAUGGUAACAAUACUUUUGCGGUUUGGUUGUAACAACCAUCAGAGAGCAGAUUGGAUGUUUCUGUAUAGUUUUUAUUAAAAACUGUACAUACUCUGCCGGUCCAUUCCCCUUGAAAUCAAUGAAACGAGGCAGAAACUCUACCGCUGUUGUCCACCGGGGGCGCCAGACUCAACACUAUAAAGUUCAUUCCAACAUUCAGCUAAAAUAUUCCCAUAAUAUUCUGAUAUAUUAUUAUAUUUAUAAUAUUGCAGCAGUUUAUAGCAAAUGUUACCAUGGAGACAAAUUAACAUGUUUUUAUUUUAAUUGCACUGAUUUUAUUAUUUUAUGUCGUCAUUUUAUUUUGUUUUAAUGUUUUUUUUACGUGAAGUAAGAAACAAACACUCAUCAUCAUCAUCAUCUUCAUCAUCAUCAUCAUCAUCCUCUUCCUCACUCAGACAGACAGACAGGCAGGAAGUGAGACAGGGUUUUCACAGUAAGAGCGCUCCGGUCUUCUGGGGGGUCGAAGGCCUCCGAGGCUCCGAGGGGUGGACCAAGUCCGGACCGAAGAGCUGGAACACGAAGAGAGGAGGAGGAGGAGGAGGAGGAGGAGAGAAAAUCAGUUUAAACUGAGAUGAGAGAGAGAAGGAGGAAGAGGAGAUUUAUGUUUUCAGAGACGGAGAAUAAACUGAGAGGAGGAAGAGGAGGAGGAGGAGGAAGAAGAAGAGGAGAAGGGGGAAGAAGAGGAGGAAUGGAAAGAAGAGAAAAAGGAAGAAAUGAAGAUGAAUUUGCUUCCAGUGAUGAAGAAAAGAGGAGCAGUCGGAGGAGGAGGUAAAGAAAGAAGAGCAGAAAGGAAGCAAGGAGGAUUCACUUUGUUCCAGCGAGAAGAAAACGGUGAAGAAAAAGAGAAAGUGAGGAAGAGGAGACGUCGGCUCCAAACAGAAAGAAGAAAAACAGACGAGAAGCCAGAAAAACGAGAAUAAAAUGAGAGGAAACAAAGCGGUCGACCUUCAACUGAGAGUGUGUUUGUGUAACAGUGUGUGUGUGUGUGUGUGUGUGUAACAGUGUGUGUGUAAGUGUGUAACAGUGUGUGUGUGUGUGUGUGUGUGUGUGUGUGUGUUGCAGAGGGAUUUCCAGUCGUCCCAGUUCGGGGAAUUCCCUUCAUCCCAGCAGAGAGACGGGCGAGCGAGGGAAGAGCGACACCAAGAGGAGACAGAGAGAGAUUUUAUUUUUUUUAUUGGGAAUAAACAUAGUUUGAUUGUUUCUGUUUUUAUUAAACAGAGGAUGAUAUUAUUAUUAUUAUUAUUAUUAUUAUAAAUUGAGGAUAAAGAAGAGAUUCAAUCACCAGAGGAGUUGGUUUUAUUCACACAGUCCAACAGCACAGAAUGAACCUUUAACAGGACAAAAUAAUAGGACAAGGAAUAUUCAAUAAAAUUAUAAAUAUGUAAUAUUUUAGUAAAACUAAAUGAAAGAAGUGAUUUUAUUUCUCUGACUGAUAAUAAAUCAUAAUUUUGAUCACUCUUCUUUUACUGAUAUUAAUUAUUUUGUUUAGAAGAACCACAAAUUUUAGUUCUGUAAAUGCAAAUGAACGCAUCACAAACACAGUAUACUGUGUUUGUGAUGCGUUCAUUUGCAUACAGUAUGUACUGUGUGCGUAUAGAUUAGUGUUUUGAGUGUUUAAUAUAAUAACAAUAUAAUAAUAUAAUAAGAACAAUUUGUGAAGAUGCGGCCGAGGAGUCGGCGAAAAUCUCCUUUUGUCCAAAAAUGCAGAAAGUGAAAUUCUGCCGACUGGAGAAAAAUAUUUGUUUACAGUAAAAAGCAUCAAUCACACUUUACCUUCCUCUCUGUUUUACAUUAAUAACGUUAGCAUUAUUUUAUUAUUUAUUUAAUUAUAAAGAAGCACAAGAAAUGUGUUUAUUAACGAGAACAUUUUAAUUAAAUUAACUCAGUAGAUCUUAUCAACUUUAUUUCCAGGUGUCUGUACUUUUUUAGUUUUUAUAUUUCAGAUUUUUAUGUUUAAAAACAGGAUUGUUACUUAAGUGUGGAUGCAUCUGAGGAGAUUAUUGAUGAUUGAUUAUUAUUUUACAUCAUUACACACCUUCCCAACAUCAACACUGGUUCACACACAGGACAGAGCUAACAUGGAGGAAAUCCAUUCACUGUUCACUGUUCACAGAAACAGUCAGAAACAUCCAGCAGAGUACUUUUACUGUCAUACUCUGAGGAGUAGAAGAUACUGAUACUGAGUAUAAAAGUCCUCAGUUGGUUUUUACAAACUGUAUGUUUGUCUUUUAUGUCGUUUUCUUGGUCUUACGUCUGUCAUGUGAACUGUUCAAUGAUGCAAACUAGUAAUAAUAAUAAUCAAUAAAUGCAUUCAAACUAAACUAAAGUCUGUUUUUAAACCAUGAACAGAAGAAAGUUCAGAUAUUUGUGUAAAAAUGUAAAAGGUUGUCAGAAACAUAAAUACUCUUAAAGUAUUGUUAGUCGCCUGGUCUGUCAGGCUGUGAGCCCUCAGUCCGGUCUUACAGGCAGCAGGCAGAGGGACCGCCCCGCUCGGUUUCAGAUGGCGAUCACAGUCCAUUAAUAUCAUUCCGGCUCUUUAAUUGCUGCUAAUUGAACCUGACGUGUCUUUAAUUAAUUAACAGAGGAGGUUAAUGAAUGCAGGUUUGAGUGGCGGCUCCAGAUGUCCAAACCUUGUUUGUCCUCUGGUUUUUACCCGCCGACUUGUCCCCUGAACGCCUCUAAUGUCUCCACCAUCCUCUCUGGACUUUUACUGUGAAGGUGACCACGACUGCAACGAAAACAAAACUGUGACAAGAAAAUGAAAAAUGUGUGUUUUUAAAGUGGCCGAGGAACAAUAACAGCAAUAGAAACUGUUUAAUGUUAGAGGCAGGAAGUGGGCGUGGUCUUUACAGAGCAAACAGCUGCGACUGUAUGAAGGAAAUAAAGCAGACGUAUAAAAUAAAGUUCAUAUUAAAAAAGGAUAAUAAUAAUAAAAAAAGAGAAAUAAUAAUUCAUUCAUUUGGUUGUUUUCUUCAAUCUCGUGUUUACAGUGAAUCUGUGACCUUUAUAUCAGCACUGUACACACACACACACAUACAAAUAUAUAUUAUUAUUGCAGCUUUAUGGGACCUUAUUGUUCUGUUAAAGGGGUUUUUCUUUAUUAAAGUUUGGUUUCAUUGA